rnacentral:rRNA from 1 species
GAUGAACGCUGGCGGCGUGCCUAAUACAUGCAAGUCGAGCGGACGGACGAGAAUCUUGCUGCGCGGAUGUUAGCGGCGGGCGGGUGAGUAACGCGUGUAUACCCUACCUAUAAGACUGAUAUAACUUCGGGAAACCGGAUCUAAUACGGGAUAAGAUUUUGAAGCGCAGGGUUCAAAGGUGAAAGACGGUCGUGCGGUCACGUAUAGAGGGAUCUGCGCUGCAUUAGCUAGUUGGUAAGGUAACGGCUUACCAAGGCAACCAUGCAUAGCCGACUUGGGGGGGUGAUAGGCCACCUGGGAGCGGAGACACCGUCAAGACUCCUACGGGACGCAGCAGUCGGGAACCUGCCGCAACGGGGGAGAGUAUGACGGAGCAAGGCCGCGUGAGUGGUGACAGCGUCGCGAUCGUAAUACUCUGUUAUGAGGGGAGAACCUAUGUGUCAGGAACUGUGCACAUAUUGACGGUAAUUAAUAAGAAAGCACCGGCUAACUACGUA